AAUGUCAUUGUCAAAUGUCAAUUAAUUUCUGAAUGUGGCUGUUGACAAACAAUCGUUUUGGUUUAUUUUGUUCUUAUUUAUUCAUUUACGUGUUUAAAUAUGAGUAAAACUAUUAAAAGUGGAGUUCGAGAGAUAUUGUUCUCCAUGAUAUCAAAAUUCCAAGCAAAACAAGAAGAAAAUGACUGAAAGAAUUUUUUUAGAUAGAAUAUUUCGCAGGAAAUCAGGAGGAUGUAGAAGGAGUUGAUGCAAUAGUGAGAACUACUGGUAAGCUCACUGAUUUAGAGCAGUAAGAUAGAAUAAAAUCCCAGAACCAGUACUUUAAAGAAAUCGCUUCCAUCAUUGGUGUAAGUGUAAUAUCAACACUCAAUAAAAAAAGAAGGGGCAACAAAUCAAGGUGUCGGGAGUACACCUG